rnacentral:rRNA from 1 species
UACGGAGGGGGCUAGCGUUGUUCGGAAUUACUGGGCGUAAAGCGCGCGUAGGCGGCUUUGCAAGUUAGAGGUGAAAGCCCGAAGCUCAACUUCGGAAUUGCCUUUAAAACUGCGAGGCUAGAAUUGUGGAGAGGUAAGUGGAAUUCCGAGUGUAGAGGUGAAAUUCGUAGAUAUUCGGAGGAACACCAGUGGCGAAGGCGGCUGGCUGGACCUGACCUGACGCUGAGGCGCGAAGGCGUGGGGAGCGAACGGG